GUGCACCAGUCGCGAAUCUUUAGCAAUGCCCGAAAGGGUGACUAUGCGACGCCGCGUGAGCGAUGAAGUCCUUCGGGACGUAAAGCUCUGUCAGGUGGGAUGAAUUUUCGACCUUAACAGGGUUGGAAUUUGACCGUACCACCAGAGGAAGCCACGGCUAACUCCGUGCCAGCAGCCGCGGUAAUACGGAGGUGGCAAGCGUUGCUCGGAUUUAUUGGGUGUAAAGGGCAUGUAGGUGUCCUAGUAAGUCCUGGCUGGAAAAUCCUUCGGCUCAACCGAAGAACGUGUCAGGAAACUGCUGGGAUUGAGUACGGAAGAGGAGAACGGAAUUCCCCGGUGUAAGGGUGAAAUCUGUAGAUAUCGGGAGGAACACC
rnacentral:rRNA from 1 species